rnacentral:rRNA from 1 species
AACGAACGCUGGCGGCAGGCUUAACACAUGCAAGUCGAACGCCCUCUUCGGAGGGAGUGGCAGACGGGUGAGUAACGCGUGGGAACCUACCUAUCAGUACGGAACAACUCAGGGAAACUUGUGCUAAUACCGUAUACGUCCUUCGGGAGAAAGAUUUAUCGCUGAUAGAUGGGCCCGCGUUAGAUUAGCUAGUUGGUGAGGUAAUGGCUCACCAAGGCGACGAUCUAUAGCUGGUCUGAGAGGAUGAUCAGCCACACUGGAACUGAGACACGGUCCAGACUCCUACGGGAGGCAGCAGUGGGGAAUAUUGACAAUGGGCAAGCCUGAUCAGCAGCCGCGU